GUCAACAAGCAAUCGAUAUUUCAGGAUCAAGGGUGUAACACUCUUUGUAGUAGCGGUCCUUAUAUAUCGUAUUAACAAUCAAAAUAUGGGUGAAAGCCUGACGGAACAAUGCCACGUAGAGGUAGAAGGCCCACGGGUCGUGAACUUCUUUUCCCAAAGAAGAAGCAAUGACGGUAUCUGGGGAAUAAGCAUCGGCUAACUCUAUGCCAGCAGUCGCGAUAAGACAGAGGAUGCAAGCGUUAUCCGAAAUGAUUGGGCAUAAAGCAUCUGUAGUUGGCUUUUUAAGUUCGUCAUCAAAUCCCAGGGCUCAACCCUGGAUAGGGGCUGAAAACUACCAAGCUGGAGUACGGUAGGGGCAGAGGAAAUUUUCAGUGGAGCGGCGAAAUGCAUAGAGAUCAGAAAGAACACCAACGAUGAAAGCACUCUACUGGGCCGACACUGACACUGAGAGACGAAAGCUCGGGGCAAGUGGAUCAUUUAUGAUGAAGAGGAUGAGCUUCAAGAGAAUGAUUUGGAGUUCUUGCAGAGUAGAACCAUGCAGUAUCAGACGUGAGAUAGAUCUUCCAAAGAACAAGGCCUUU
rnacentral:rRNA from 1 species